AUGGACACCAGCCACAUGCAGCCUAUCAAGCUGGUCAGGGUCACCAAGCUUCUGGGCAGAAUGGGCUCUAAAGGACAGUGGUCGCAGGUGUGCAUGGAAUUUAUGGAGGAUGCGAGCCGCUCCAUCAUCCACAAUGUAAAAGGCCCCGUGUGCGAGGGCGAUGUGCUCACCCUGUUGCAGUCAGAGUCAGAGGUCGGGAGGUUGCGCU
rnacentral:lncRNA from 1 species